rnacentral:rRNA from 1 species
UGAAGUGGUCGUGGGUUUUGUGAAGUAGGAGUUUCAAACUGUCUAUGUUACACUAAGCAGGACUGCGCCUGGUUAGUACCUGGAUGGGAGACCACAUGGGAAAUCUAAGUUGCUGCCGGAA